rnacentral:rRNA from 1 species
GACGAACCGUGCGAACGUUGUUCGGAAUCACUGGGCUUAAAGGGCGCGUAGGCGGGUUUUCAAGUCUGUGGUGAAAGCCUCCAGCUUAACUGGAGAAGUGCCGUGGAUACUGGAGACCUCGAGGAGGGUAGGGGCAUCUGGAACAGCCGGUGGAGCGGUGAAAUGCGUUGAUAUCGGCUGGAACUCCGAUGGCGAAGGCAAGGUGCUGGACCCUCUCUGACGCUGAGGCGCGAAAGCCAGGGGAGCGAACGGGAUUAGAAACC